rnacentral:rRNA from 1 species
GACGAACGCUGGCGGCGUGCCUAAUACAUGCAAGUAGGACGCAGUUGCGAACGGGUGAGUAACGCGUCGGUCACUACCUAUUAGAGGGGGAUAACUAACGGAAACGAUAGCUAAUACCGCAUACUAGUAGAUGGACCUGCGUUGUAUUAGCUAGUAGGUAGGGUAAUGGCCUACCCAGGGAAAGAUACAUAGCCGAACCGAGAAGGUGAUCAGCCGCACUGGGACUUGGACACGGCCCAAGCUCCUACAGGAAGCAACCAUUGGGAAUCUUCGGCCAUGGGGGGAAACCUUAUCGCGCAAAGGCGGGGGCGUGAAGAAGGUUUUCGGAUCGUAAAGCACUGGUUGUAAGAAAGCGGUACUUAACCAGAAAGAAACGGCUAACUACGUGCCAGCCGCCGCGGUAAUAC